UGUCGCGUCUGCCGUGAAAGUCCGGGGCUCAACUCCGGAUCUGCGGUGGGUACGGGCAGACUAGAGUGAUGUAGGGGAGACUGGAAUUCCUGGUGUAGCGGUGAAAUGCGCAGAUAUCAGGAGGAACACCGAUGGCGAAGGCAGGUCUCUGGGCAUUAACUGACGCUGAGGAGCGAAAGCAUGGGGAGCGAACAGGAUUAGAUACCCUGGUAGUCCAUGCCGUAAACGUUGGGCACUAGGUGUGGGGGACAUUCCACGUUUUCCGCGCCGUAGCUAACGCAUUAAGUGCCCCGCCUGGGGAGUACGGCCGCAAGGCUAAAACUCAAAGGAAUUGACGGGGGCCCGCACAAGCGGCGGCGCAUGCGGAUUAAUUCGAUGCAACGCGAAGAACCUUACCAAGGCUUGACAUGAACCGGUAAGACCUGGAAACAGGUCCCCCACUUGUGGCCGGUUUACAGGUGGUGCAUGGUUGUCGUCAGCUCGUGUCGUGAGAUGUUGGGUUAAGUCCCGCAACGAGCGCAACCCUCGUUCCAUGUUGCCAGCGCGUUAUGGCGGGGACUCAUGGGAGACUGCCGGGGUCAACUCGGAGGAAGGUGGGGACGACGUCAAAUCAUCGUGCCCCUUAUGUCUUGGGCUUCACGCAUGCUACAAUGGCCGGUACAAAGGGUUGCGAUACUGUGAGGUGGAGCUAAUCCCAAAAAGCCGGUCUCAGUUCGGAUUGGGGUCUGCAACUCGACCCCA
rnacentral:rRNA from 1 species